CUCAGCGUGUGUGCGUGUGUGCGUGUGUUCAAGGGCUGGGGGCUCAAUUGUGAGAGGUGGCCCAGGGGCCGGUUAGAGACUGGGAAGGACGACAGAGGCAAGACACGCAGCGAGUGCUCUCGCGAGAGUUCACCGAGUUGAUAAAAUUAUUAAAACACAAAAUACACAUUUGCGUGAGGGGGAAAAAAUACCCGCUUGUCCGUCCUGUCCCUUCAGGCUGCGCAACGCUGGAGGGCGAUGGGAGCUCCACACAGGUGGGACGAGCCUAGCAGUGAUGCUGCCUGGAGUUAAAGGAGGCCAGGAGCACCAGAAGCUGGAGGAGGCCGGGGUGGAUUCUCGCCUGGAGGCUUCAGUGGGAGCACGAGCUCCCGACACUUCGGUUCCAUCUCUUGUUUAAAGGCACCCAGUUUCUCAUCAUUUGUUACAGCACCAUGGAAAACCCACACACAAGUGAAGCCCCGACCCACCUCCCAAGUGCCCAUCUGAGCACCCCUCGUGGACUCUGAGCAGGGGGUUGCCAUCACCAACUCCAAGUCUUGCAGCCCCUCUUCCCUUCAGUCUGGCUGCCACCUUCUUCAUUGCCCUGGAAAAAAAUAAUGAAGUUUCACCAUUUAAAGGGUUUCAGUGCAGCUUGCUAUGGGAACACUGGAGAGUAACACAAAUGGCCAAUUGUCCUAAUAGCCACCAUGGAUUGGAUGGAUGCUAACAACAGGCUCACAGUUCUCCUUCUGUUGCCUCCUUUUAUCCACAUGAGAAUCAAACAAGUAGGUGCUGCUGGUAUUACUGUAUUUUUCUCAUUUUAAAGAUCAGGAUGGGGAGGGUUGAGGAGGUUAAGGAAGUUGUUAGAAGUUACACUGAAGUUAAGAAAGGAAAAAGGACUUAGAAACUUAUUCUUCCAACUUUAGAACCACGGUCAGUGACCAAGGCCCUGCUUAGAACUUUCUGAAGGUUGCAGCUGGCCUUCUACCUGGAGUUUUGACUUCCUUUCCGAGAAAGGAACUUGAAUGGCAAUCACAAGAAAGUUGAGAACUUCUCUUUCAUAUUUUAA
rnacentral:lncRNA from 1 species